AAGAAACUAACAGGGGCAAGGAACAAGCGGGGAGAUAGACAUGCCAUGGAAAAAAGGAGGAGUUUUUUACUAGCUCAUAGUCUCAUUCAUACACACAUAGCUUUUCACAGGCUCUUGGUACAGACUGUGGAGAGAAACAAAAAAACAGGUUCAUGCCUUCAUGGCUACAACAAAGCUGCAGCUCUUGCGCAGCUUCAACCCAGGCAGGCAGCAACACCCACAUGCAGGCACGAACCCGUCAGGCGAGCUCUCCCCAUGCAUCUCGACCGCCAAGAGAAACAUAAACUACUUACUCAAGCACAUCUCUCUCGGAUCAUGCCCCAUCUCGAUCUAGUUUUUCAUUAGUCCUUGAUGAGUUCAUGUUCAUGGUUCAUAUGCAUGGCCACAUAU
rnacentral:lncRNA from 1 species